UUAAGUUAGAAAGGGCGCACGGUGGAUGCCUUGGCACUAGGAGCCGAUGAAGGACGGGACGAACACCGAUAUGCUUCGGGGAGCUGUAAGCAAGCUUUGAUCCGGAGAUUUCCGAAUGGGGAAACCCACCACUCGUAAUGGAGUGGUAUCCAUAUCUGAAUACAUAGGAUAUGAGAAGGCAGACCCGGGGAACUGAAACAUCUAAGUACCCGGAGGAAGAGAAAGCAAAUGCGAUUCCCUGAGUAGCGGCGAGCGAAACGGGAUCAGCCCAAACCAAGAGGCUUGCCUCUUGGGGUUGUAGGACACUCUGUACGGAGUUACAAAGGAACGAGGUAGAUGAAGAGGUCUGGAAAGGCCCGCCAUAGGAGGUAACAGCCCUGUAGUCAAAACUUCGUUCUCUCCUGAGUGGAUCCUGAGUACGGCGGAACACGUGAAAUUCCGUCGGAAUCCGGGAGGACCAUCUCCCAAGGCUAAAUACUCCCUAGUGACCGAUAGUGAACCAGUACCGUGAGGGAAAGGUGAAAAGCACCCCGGAAGGGGAGUGAAAGAGAUCCUGAAACCGUGUGCCUACAAGUAGUCAGAGCCCGUUAACGGGUGAUGGCGUGCCUUUUGUAGAAUGAACCGGCGAGUUACGAUCCCGUGCAAGGUUAAGCAGAAGAUGCGGAGCCGCAGCGAAAGCGAGUCUGAAUAGGGCGAAUUGAGUACGUGGUCGUAGACCCGAAACCAGGUGAUCUACCCAUGUCCAGGGUGAAGUUCAGGUAACACUGAAUGGAGGCCCGAACCCACGCACGUUGAAAAGUGCGGGGAUGAGGUGUGGGUAGGGGUGAAAUGCCAAUCGAACCUGGAGAUAGCUGGUUCUCUCCGAAAUAGCUUUAGGGCUAGCCUCAAGGUAAGAGUCUCGGAGGUAGAGCACUGAUUGGACUAGGGGCCCCUACCGGGUUACCGAAUUCAGUCAAACUCCGAAUGCCGAUGACUUAUCCUUGGGAGUCAGACUGCGAGUGAUAAGAUCCGUAGUCGAAAGGGAAACAGCCCAGACCGCCAGCUAAGGUCCCAAAGUAUACGUUAAGUGGAAAAGGAUGUGGAGUUGCUUAGACAACCAGGAUGUUGGCUUAGAAGCAGCCACCAUUUAAAGAGUGCGUAAUAGCUCACUGGUCGAGUGACUCUGCGCCGAAAAUGUACCGGGGCUAAACGUAUCACCGAAGCUGCGGACUGUUCUUCGAACAGUGGUAGGAGAGCGUUCUAAGGGCUGUGAAGCAAGACCGGAAGGACUUGUGGAGCGCUUAGAAGUGAGAAUGCCGGUAUGAGUAGCGAAAGAGGGGUGAGAAUCCCCUCCACCGAAUGCCUAAGGUUUCCUGAGGAAGGCUCGUCCGCUCAGGGUUAGUCGGGACCUAAGCCGAGGCCGAAAGGCGUAGGCGAUGGAUAACAGGUUGAUAUUCCUGUACCACCUCCUCACCAUUUGAGCAAUGGGGGGACGCAGGAGGAUAGGGUAAGCGCGGUAUUGGAUAUCCGCGUCCAAGCAGUUAGGCUGGGAAAUAGGCAAAUCCGUUUCCCGUGAAGGCUGAGCUGUGAUGGCGAGCGAAUUAUAGUAGCGAAGUUCCUGAUUCCACACUGCCAAGAAAAGCCUCUAGCGAGGUGAGAGGUGCCCGUACCGCAAACCGACACAGGUAGGCGAGGAGAGAAUCCUAAGGUGAUCGAGAGAACUCUCGUUAAGGAACUCGGCAAAAUGACCCCGUAACUUCGGGAGAAGGGGUGCUCUGUUAGGGUGCAAGCCCGAGAGAGCCGCAGUGAAUAGGCCCAGGCGACUGUUUAGCAAAAACACAGGUCUCUGCGAAGCCGUAAGGCGAAGUAUAGGGGCUGACGCCUGCCCGGUGCUGGAAGGUUAAGAGGAGCGCUUAGCGUAAGCGAAGGUGCGAAUUGAAGCCCCAGUAAACGGCGGCCGUAACUAUAACGGUCCUAAGGUAGCGAAAUUCCUUGUCGGGUAAGUUCCGACCCGCACGAAAGGCGCAACGAUCUGGGCACUGUCUCAACGAGAGACUCGGUGAAAUUAUAGUACCUGUGAAGAUGCAGGUUACCCGCGACAGGACGGAAAGACCCCGUGGAGCUUUACUGCAGCCUGAUAUUGAAUGUUGGUACAGCUUGUACAGGAUAGGUAGGAGCCUUGGAAACCGGAGCGCCAGCUUCGGUGGAGGCAUCGGUGGGAUACUACCCUGGCUGUAUUGACCUUCUAACCCGCCGCCCUUAUCGGGCGGGGAGACAGUGUCAGGUGGGCAGUUUGACUGGGGCGGUCGCCUCCUAAAAGGUAACGGAGGCGCCCAAAGGUUCCCUCAGAAUGGUUGGAAAUCAUUCGCAGAGUGUAAAGGCACAAGGGAGCUUGACUGCGAGACCUACAAGUCGAGCAGGGACGAAAGUCGGGCUUAGUGAUCCGGUGGUUCCGCAUGGAAGGGCCAUCGCUCAACGGAUAAAAGCUACCCCGGGGAUAACAGGCUUAUCUCCCCCAAGAGUCCACAUCGACGGGGAGGUUUGGCACCUCGAUGUCGGCUCAUCGCAUCCUGGGGCUGUAGUCGGUCCCAAGGGUUGGGCUGUUCGCCCAUUAAAGCGGUACGCGAGCUGGGUUCAGAACGUCGUGAGACAGUUCGGUCCCUAUCCGUCGCGGGCGCAGGAAAUUUGAGAGGAUCUGUCCUUAGUACGAGAGGACCGGGAUGGACGCACCGCUGGUGUACCAGUUGUUCUGCCAAGGGCAUCGCUGGGUAGCUAUGUGCGGACGGGAUAAGUGCUGAAAGCAUCUAAGCAUGAAGCCCCCCUCAAGAUGAGAUUUCCCAUUCCGCAAGGAAGUAAGAUCCCUGAAAGAUGAUCAGGUUGAUAGGUCUGAGGUGGAAGUGUGGCGACACAUGGAGCUGACAGAUACUAAUCGAUCGAGGACUUAACC
rnacentral:rRNA from 1 species